rnacentral:rRNA from 1 species
ACAGCAGCCGCCACGGUAAUACGUAGGUCCCGAGCGUUGUCCGGAUUUAUUGAGCGUAAAGGGAGCGCAGGCGGUUUAGUAAGUCUGAAGUUAAAGGCAUUGGCUCAACCAAUGUAUGCUUUGGAAACUGUUAGACUUGAGUGCAGAAGGGGAGAGUGGAAUUCCAUGUGUAGCGGUGAAAUGCGUAGAUAUAUGGAGGAACACCGGUGGCGAAAGCGGCUCUCUGGCUUGUAACUGACGCUGAGACUCGAAAGCGUGGGGAGCAAACAGGAUUAGAUACCCCCGUAGUCCCUGUCUCUUAUACA